rnacentral:misc_RNA from 1 species
UUAACUAUUAUAUAGUACUCAGACAUCACUAAACAAACGAGUUUGGGUCCUCUGGCAGGCGCAGUCAGCCGGAGCCGACGCCCCGAGGGGCGGCCUGCCAAAGCAACAAAGGUAUGUAUACACGGUUUGGAAUUACCCAUUUCAAGAAACGGGGCGUUCUUUAAUGAUCCUUCCGCAGGUUCACCUACGGAAA